rnacentral:rRNA from 1 species
AGUGAACGCUGGCGGUAGGCCUAACACAUGCAAGUCGAACGGCGCACAGUAAGAGCUUGCUCUUACGGGUGGCGAGUGGCGGACGGGUGAGGAAUACAUCGGAAUCUACUUUUUCGUGGGGGAUAACGUAGGGAAACUUACGCUAAUACCGCAUACGACCUACGGGUGAAAGCAGGGGAUCUUCGGACCUUGCGCGAUUGAAUGAGCCGAUGUCGGAUUAGCUAGUUGGCGGGGUAAAGGCCCACCAAGGCGACGAUCCGUAGCUGGUCUGAGAGGAUGAUCAGCCACACUGGAACUGAGACACGGUCCAGACUCCUACGGGAGGCAGCAGUGGGGAAUAUUGGACAAUGGGCGCAAGCCUGAUCCAGCCAUACCGCGUGGGUGAAGAAGGCCUUCGGGUUGUAAAGCCCUUUUGUUGGGAAAGAAAAGCAGCAGGUUAAUACCCCGCUGUUCUGACGGUACCCAAAGAAUAAGCACCGGCUAACUUCGUG